GUCUGGGUGGUGUAGUUGGCUAUCACGCUAGUCUCACACACUAGAGAUCCCCGGGCUAAGACA
rnacentral:tRNA from 1 species